rnacentral:rRNA from 1 species
AGAGUUUGAUCCUGGCUCAGAACUAACGCUGGCGGCGUGCCUAACACAUGCAAGUCGAACGAGAAGCCCGCAAGGGUUGUAAAGUGGCGGACGGGUGCGUAACACGUGGGUAAUCUACCCUUUGGUCUGGGAUAACUUGUCGAAAGACGGGCUAAUACCGGAUAAGACCACGGCUCUGCGGAGCUGUGAGAAAAGACUCGCAAGGGUCACCGAUGGAUGAGCCCGCGGCCUAUCACGGUAGUUGGUGAGGUAAUGGCUCACCAAGCCUACGACGGGUAGCUGGUCUGAGAGGACGACCAGUCACACUGGAACUGAGACACGGUCCAGACUCCUACGGGAGGCAGCAGUGGGGAAUAUUGCGCAAUGGGCGAAAGCCUGACGCAGCAACGCCGCGUGGGUGAUGAAGGCCUUCGGGUUGUAAAGCCCUGUCGCCUGGGACGAACAAGCUCGUGAAGAACGAGCUCUGACGGUACCAGGAGAGGAAGCACCGGCUAACUCUGUGCCAGCAGCCGCGGUAAUACAGAGGGUGCUAGCGUUGUUCGGAAUUAUUGGGCGUAAAGGGCGCGUAGGCGGCCUCGCAUGUCGAAUGUGAAAGCCCACCUCUUAGAGGUGGAAUUGCAUUCGAAACUGCAAGGCUGGAGUGCCGGAGAGGGUGGUGGAAUUCCUGGUGUAGAGGUGAAAUUCGUAGAUAUCAGGAGGAACACCGGUGGCGAAGGCGGCCACCUGGACGGUAACUGACGCUGAGGCGCGAAAGCGUGGGGAGCAAACAGGAUUAGAUACCCUGGUAGUCCACGCUGUAAACGAUGGGUGCUAGGUGUUGUGGGUAUUGACCCCCGCAGUGCCGUCGCUAACGCAUUAAGCACCCCGCCU